UCUACCUUCAGUGACAUCCAAAAAAAAUUGGAACGAUACAAAGAAAUUAACAUGACCCUUGUGCAAGGAUGACAUGCGGUAUCAAAACCUGACACAAUGUGCC